rnacentral:lncRNA from 10 species
AGCCUCCUGCCCCAGGCAGGCUGUACCCGCCCCCGCAGCUCCUGCGCCCCGGCAGUGCCCUGCUGUGCCAUGCCCCGCGCUGGCCCUGGGGAGGUGUUUGCUGGAUAAACAGCUGCCCCCCGGGGCCCAGGCCGCAGUGCUCCUUCGCCACCGUGUCUCCAGCAUCACCCCUUCUCCUCUGAGACCUCUUCCCAGGCCACAACACCAGGGGCCCUGAAGGAGGCCGCUGGCAAGGAAACAUGGACCCGGCUCCAGCCCAGCUACUGGAAGACCUUUCUGGAAUCGGGAGAAGACGCACCUCGGACUUGGGAGCUGAUCCUUCUUUCAAUUCCUGAUUCUGCCACCUCUUGCUAAGGAUUUCAGGCUAGUUACUUAACUUCUCUUAAACCAGCAUUAUCAAUCUGUAUAAUGUGGUAGUGAUACCACAUUGCAGGGUUGAUGGGAGGGUUAAAUUAGACGUUUAAAGUUUUAAACAGUGUCUGUACGUGGAAACCCUUGAUAAAUGGGAGCUAAUGUUUUGCUAGCUCAAUGCUGGUUCCCACGCGGGAGGCCAGUCUACCCAAGCAGAAAAUGCCUGGGGCUGUAUUAAUUAAGGCCUAAGGUUCAGAGUAAGGGAGGUGACAGUCUUGCCCUACUAGGGGUUCAUCGUGGCCUGACUAGAUGAACUGUCUUGGGACUAACACCUCAUACUGCCACCCUUCCCUCCACACUCCAGGGCUUCCUUCCUUCGAGUCUAAACAUUUUCCUGUCUCAGGAGUUGUUCCCAUUACCCUGUAUUUACUCAGUGAGCAUGGGACACCAUGCAGUGAGUGUCAGGACAGCUGGUGGAUGGGACCAUGGAGCCACCGGAGCCAUUUUCCAGAGUUUCUGUUGAGUCCACCCACAUAAGCCUUGCUUAUGCAGGCGAGACCAACCAACCCCCACUUCUUCAGCUGGGCCUUCUGCUGCUGGGACCAGAAGCACUGACGGCAGCGGCGAAGGCUGGAUGGAGAACCAGGCCUGCCACCUCUGGGUCCAGCCUGACUGCACCCUUGGCUAUGCCCGUCCUCUCUUGGAAUGUGGCUUUCCUACGACCUGAAACCGUGGAAGGAGAAGGAGAGGGAAGGGCUGGGGGGAGGCAGAAGCCUGACCGUCAGAUCUGCCAAGAACAGUCAUCGUUUAUUUCCACGAGUAUUUCUUGGCAUUAGGCAGAUAUUGAAGAACAGGCUGUGCAAGAUUUAUAAACGCGGGGACAGCUGGAGGGACGUAAGAGGGGCCGGAUUUACCAACAGCGGUGGCACGCAGCACACCCGCCUUGCCUGGAGAGUGCAGGGGCCACGGCCUGAGGAAUGGGGGCUCCCGCGGGCAGACGCAAAACUCAGAAAAUGCCAUUUAUUUUAUCAUUUUAAUACCGGAAAUGCCAGACCAAUCAACAGGGAGGACAGACCAGACACAAAUGCCUGUGCUCACA